AAGCGUUUAUUAUCUACCUGGAACAUAUUCAUGGUUUUUGUUUUACAAUUUAGUUUAAUUUAGACUUGUUGAUUUACAGCACACUAUAGGCAACCCUAUUAACACCUUUUAAGUUGAACUGAAAUGCUAACCAAACAACAUGGCCGCUCCAACCGUCGCAGAUACAAGACGUGUUUCUCGUUUUUAACGAAAAAAGUAAUAAUUAAAGUGUUUGCGAAGCAAAAAACAGGUGCAGGCAUACAGAAUACAAACGACUAACACGAACCAAGCAUGACUGUGCAUUUCCGUCAAAUAGUUCCAGAAAAACGUAAGUAAUCAAACUCAAAGCAUUUAUUAUCCACUUAGUAUAUAUUUAUUGUGUAACAUUUUUUGCGUUUUACAAUCCAGCAUAAUGAGUACUCGUACAAUGUAACAUGCAAUUAUAUCGCGAUUAUUUAUCUAGUGUUGCACUGACCAGUCACAAAGUUCACUUUGAUAACAUGAGUCUACUUAUUUCAUAGAGCUAGGCUAAUAUUCAGCAUGAUAUUUGCAUAAUUUUGGCUAAAACAAUCAUAAUUGAAACAUAAUUCAUGACAAUAAACUUAAACUCUAAUGGAAUCAUGGGUUUCUCAUCUAGUUUCUAAAACAUUUACA